UACGUAGGGAGCGAGCGUUAUCCGGAUUUAUUGGGUGUAAAGGGUGCGUAGACGGGUAAUUAAGUUAGUUGUGAAAUCCCUCGGCUCAACUGAGGAACUGCAACUAAAACUGGUUAUCUUGAGUGCAGGAGAGGUAAGUGGAAUUCCUAGUGUAGCGGUGAAAUGCGUAGAUAUUAGGAGGAACACCAGUGGCGAAGGCGACUUACUGGACUGUAACUGACGUUGAGGCACGAAAGUGUGGGGAGCAAACAGG
rnacentral:rRNA from 1 species